rnacentral:rRNA from 1 species
GACGAACGCUGGCGGCGUGCUUAACACAUGCAAGUCGAACGGAAAGGCCCUGCUUUUGUGGGGUGCUCGAGUGGCGAACGGGUGAGUAACACGUGAGUAACCUGCCCUUGACUUUGGGAUAACUUCAGGAAACUGGGGCUAAUACCGGAUAGGAGCUCCUGCUGCAUGGUGGGGGUUGGAAAGUUUCGGCGGUUGGGGAUGGACUCGCGGCUUAUCAGCUUGUUGGUGGGGUAGUGGCUUACCAAGGCUUUGACGGGUAGCCGGCCUGAGAGGGUGACCGGCCACAUUGGGCCUGCGAUACGGCCCAGACUCCUACGGGCGGCAGCAGUGGGGAAUCUUGCACAAUGGGCGGAAGCCUGAUGCAGCGACGCCGCGUGCGUGAUGACGGCCUUCGGGUUGUAAACCGCUUUCGCCUGUGCCGAAGCGUGAGUGACGGUAAUGGGUAAAGAAGCACCGGCUAACUACGUG